ACGUGUAAGUUUUGUUUUGUUGGGGGUUCUGUUUGUUUGUUCUUUCAUUGGAGUACUUUCUUCUUUCCCUUUUCUCUCUCAUUUUCAUUCUAGCUUUCCCUUGGUGAGCGCCAAGUUCACAAAAUGCAGAAUCCGAGUCAGACGGUCCUGGACGGGGACACCCUCGCCCUGGACCUGUCUCUGAGGACCUACUUUCCUUGGCUUUCAGCUAAGAAUCUGACUGGAAUAAAACCAAUUCACUCCCUCACUUCAAGAGUGAAUAGCAGCCAGGCCCUCGGUGGGUGGCAGCGAGACCCCCGGCUGGCCUGGGGAGGGAGAGAGGACCCCUCCUACUUACGGAGAGUAAAUGGGGCAAAAGACGACGACUGGCGACUUUAGCCUGAAGCUCAAGUUCGGUGAACAGAAGCCCCUCUCGAAGUGAACCAGGAAGGCGGGAAAGCGAGGCUUUCGGUCUUCGUUCAUCGGUGGCUUCUGCACUGCAACGACCUAGUGCAGGUUUUCAUGUUUAACAGAACACCUUUUCCUUUAAAA